GAGGUUGUAGCUCAGUGGUAGAGCACAUGCCUCGCAUGCAUGAGGCACUGGGUUCCAUCCUCA
rnacentral:tRNA from 1 species